rnacentral:rRNA from 1 species
UACGGGGGGGGCAAGCGUUGUUCGGAAUUACUGGGCGUAAAGGGCUCGUAGGCGGCCAACUAAGUCAGACGUGAAAUCCCUAGGCUCAACCUAGGAACUGCGUCUGAUACUGGAUGGCUUGAAUCCGGGAGAGGGAUGCAGAAUUCCAGGUGUAGCGGUGAAAUGCGUAGAUAUCUGGAGGAAUACCGGUGGCGAAGGCGGCAUCCUGGACCGGCAUUGACGCUGAGGAGCGAAAGCUAGGG